GAUGAACGCUGGCGGCGUGCCUAAUACAUGCAAGUCGAGCGAACGGACGAGAAGCUUGCUUCUCUGAUGUUAGCGGCGGACGGGUGAGUAACACGUGGAUAACCUACCUAUAAGACUGGGAUAACUUCGGGAAACCGGAGCUAAUACCGGAUAAUAUUUUGAACCGCAUGGUUCAAAAGUGAAAGACGGUCUUGCUGUCACUUAUAGAUGGAUCCGCGCUGCAUUAGCUAGUUGGUAAGGUAACGGCUUACCAAGGCAACGAUGCAUAGCCGACCUGAGAGGGUGAUCGGCCACACUGGAACUGAGACACGGUCCAGACUCCUGCGGGAGGCAGCAGUAGGGAAUCUUCCGCAAUGGGCGAAAGCCUGACGGAGCAACGCCGCGUGAGUGAUGAAGGUCUUCGGAUCGUAAAACUCUGUUAUUAGAGAAGAACAUAUGUGUAAGUAACUGUGCACAUCUUGACGGUACCUAAUCAGAAAGCCACGGCUAACUACGUG
rnacentral:rRNA from 1 species